AUUUCGAUGCGUUUUCAUUGACAAUUCACAAAUUUAUUUGUUUGAUUACAUUUGAGCAUUUUUAUACUCCCGCAACAUGUUGCUAAGAAAGCAACAUGUUGGUCUCAUGUUGUUUGUAAGUCAUAAAACUAAACGACAUUGGGUUACAAAUAUCAAAAUGAUCAGGAUGACGAGACGAGUUAAAAACCAUCUGUCUGUACAAGCGUUUUCUUGAGUAAAACUUCUGAUAUAUUAAUGAAACUUCAGGAAUUGCACCAUCUUUCAUAUAAUGACUUUUGUUUUCUAGUGGACUUUGUGUGUGAGUCGAGUUGCAUGUAAUUUUAAAGCGCUUUUUUUCUCAAAAAAUUUUUGAAUUUAUUCUGACCUAGUUAUCAAAUUGUCAGUGAGAUCUAACCAGCAUAAUAGGAUGACACUUUUUUCUUCUUUAAUCAUGUAAAAAAUGGAGCACAUUCAAAAAUGUAAUGCAGCAUGUGUAUUAUGUUGAAAUAUAAAAAGUCACCAUUCGAGAAAAGAAAGGAAAACACGCUUAAUAACAUUAAUCAAAUUAAUUGCGAGAGUAUAAAAUGUUCGGUCACACGCGAACUUAACACUCUCUUAUCCAUUAUUUCGACAAAGUAUUGGAAUUGGUUUACAAUAUCAAAUUACAUUUUAGAGCUGGCAAAAUAUGUCUUCCAAUAAUAUCGACUAAGCUAGAGCAGACAUCGAUUAUAAUUAGUGGAAUGUAAGUUUUCAAGAAGUUUUCAGCGAAAACUGUGAUUUCGUUUGCAUGGAUGAAAAUCCAUUUUUCGAACGGAAACCUAAUUUUUCAAUAAAAACAUGUUUUCAAUGUCGCUCCGAACGUAGUAUAACGAAAAUGAUAUCAGAACAAACCACCAGUUACAAGCUACAACUAUAUCAUUAAAAAAUCGGGGUUGUGAUUUAAAUCUAACGGCUAUAUACUGCCCACCUCGUUUUAAAAUCACAAUCAAGUCAUGGGUACUGAAACUCCAAUACAUUUAAAGAAAUUUUAAUAACACCACUUCAUACACACAUAUGCAACAAAGGGCGAAAUGUGCAUAAACACUUACCUCAACUCUUCUUUCGUACAGCAUCCUGAAUGAUAGAAAGAAACAACCAAAGUUCUCGUGUUUGAACAAGUUUUGUUUUGAGCUAUAUCAUGGCUGCCUGUGAAGUAUUAUUUUGCGUGUUUUAUUUAAAUCAGGGAUCUGUAGCCUGUAGGUCAUGUUGUUCGAAUGGAUGAAAGUGCUCCAGCUCAGAAAGUAUUCGCUGCAGUACCCGCUGGUGGAAGCCGGGGAAGAGGGAGACCUCCACUCCGAUGGAAGGACCAGCUGGAGAGGGACCUGGCUUCGCUUGGUAUAACCAAUUGGCGCCAAACUGCCAGAAGGAGGGAUACGUGGCGCGCUGUUUUGGACUCGGCUAUAACCGCGUAAGCGGUGUCUACGCCAGUCAAGAAUAAGAAGAUCUGUAGCCUAUUUAAAGUUUAAAUUAUUGAAGCACGCAUUUUUAAAUAAGUAAAACGUAAAAUAAAAGUUUGCUAAAGCCAAAAUAUGGAUUGUCAAUUCGAAGCACGCAAUAGAAGCUACGCCAACAAUGGUCAACAUCAAGGGCAAAACCAUUGAAUACAUAUUUCAAACCUCAUACGGCGCGUUAAAGGUACGCAACCUAAUUGGUGUCACUUAUGGCAGUAGAACUUUCGAAUCGAUUGAAUAUGUGCUGCAAGCAAAACCAGAACUAUGGAUGCAAACGCUGCUACAUCGAACACAAAUCAUUUACACACCAGAUAUUAGGUUUAAUGUCACUUUUUUACGUGCAAUUAAACCUUUUGCUCAACACAAGCCCGGGAAGAACUGAAACGACAGAAAUUAAAGGGAGGACUUUUUUGAUUCAUUUUCACCUUGUAUUGAGCAAUCAUACCGUUGUUGUAUAGCUUUACAAGGACAUGGAUUCACCGAAAUUAGUUCAUUGGAAAUACUACAGCAAGAGCAUGGAUGUUAAGACUAGAACGUUGCCAGUGCUAGAUUUAGAAUUCCUGAAACACAAGACACCCUCCUCCCAGAAAAUGGACAAAUAUAGUAAUAAUGAAAUUAAUGAAAGAACAGAUCUUCCAAAUCUCCUAAAGAAACCAAAAAAAUCCUCACAUAAUGUGCGCAGCUAACACUUCCAGGCCGCUCGGGGUAUUUGACAUUUGCCACUCUUCCUCCAGCCUUUGUCAGAUAGCAAAAAUUGUUCAAAUAUUCAAUACGUUUUACAAAUGUACAUAGUGUAGUACGAUAAUACAUUUAUAAAGUAAAUAUAAAAAUAAACACCUAA